rnacentral:rRNA from 1 species
CCUACACAUGCAAGUCGAGCGGUAACAUUUCUAGCUUGCUAGAAGAUGACGAGCGGCGGACGGGUGAGUAAUGCUCGGGAACAUGCCUUGAGGUGGGGGACAACAGUUGGAAACGACUGCUAAUACCGCAUAAUGUCUACGGACCAAAGGGGGCUUCGGCUCUCGCCUUUAGAUUGGCCCAAGUGGGAUUAGCUAGUUGGUGAGGUAAUGGCUCACCAAGGCGACGAUCCCUAGCUGGUUUGAGAGGAUGAUCAGCCACACUGGGACUGAGACACGGCCCAGACUCCUACGGGAGGCAGCAGUGGGGAAUAUUGCACAAUGGGCGCAAGCCUGAUGCAGCCAUGCCGCGUGUGUGAAGAAGGCCUUCGGGUUGUAAAGCACUUUCAGUCAGGAGGAAAGGUUAGUAGUUAAUACCUGCUAGCUGUGACGUUACUGACAGAAGAAGCACCGGCUAACUCCGUGCCAGCAGCCGCGGUAAUACGGAGGGUGCGAGCGUUAAUCGGAAUUACUGGGCGUAAAGCGUACGCAGGCGGUUUGUUAAGCGAGAUGUGAAAGCCCCGGGC